rnacentral:rRNA from 1 species
AACGCGAAGAACCUUACCCAGGCUUGAACAGCGAGUGACCAUCGACGAAAGUUGACUUCCGCAAGGACACUCGUAGAGGUGCUGCAUGGCUGUCGUCAGCUCGUGUCGUGAGAUGUUGGGUUAAGUCCCGCAACGAGCGCAACCCUUGUUUGCUGUUGCCAUCACGUUAUGGUGGGCACUCUGCAAAGACUGCCGGUGAUAAACCGGAGGAAGGUGGGGAUGACGUCAAGUCAGCAUGGCCUUUAUGUCUGGGGCUACACACGUGCUACAAUGGCCGAUACAAACCGUCGCGAGCCCGCAAGGGGGAGCUAAUCGGAGAAAGUCGGUCUCAGUUCGGAUAGCAGGCUGCAACUCGCCUGCUUGAAGUUGGAAUCGCUAGUAAUCGCGGAUCAGCACGCCGCGGUGAAUACGUUCCCGGGCCUUGUACACACCGCUACAGU